CCUGAGGUCCUUCUGGAAUAGGAUGAGACCAGAAAUAGAAAGGCAUGACAUUUGAUGCUUCAAAGUGUUUCCAAGAGCUCAACUACUCGGAGACUAGUAGCUGCACAGUGUCGGCUAGACGGUGAGCAGCGCACUGUAAAACCACCUCGCAGACCUGCAGGAUUGUGAAAUAGCUGCUCUGUGGAGGGGGAGAGUUCAUCCCCUUAGGCCAGACAACAGAGUAGCCAGAGAAAAUCAGUCUCGUCUGCAGGAACUCAGUGAAGGUUUUAACCUUUCCUGGCCUCUCCCAACUAAAAGUCCAACUU
ensembl:lncRNA